AAUGGCAUGGGUUAACUUGAAUCACUUAGCGGUCUAAUCAAAACAUAAUCUAUCAAAUUGGCCAGAUAAGUGAGAUCGGUGGGAGGGUCUGCUAAGCUUGCCUUAGACACCAUCGAAAUGGUAAGAUAAGCUGCUCUUAAUUAAAAACCACCGAUCGAAAUGCCCAACUUAUCUUAGACACUAAUUGAUUAACUAAAUUUGAUUUGACC
rnacentral:lncRNA from 1 species